rnacentral:tRNA from 5 species
GGGUCGGUACCGAAGCGGUCAACCGGGGCAGACUGUAAAUCUGCUGGCGUAUGCCUUCGGGGGUUCGAAUCCCUCCCGGCCCA